rnacentral:rRNA from 1 species
UAUCUCGAAAGUAAAAGAUCUAAUUAAGCUAGUUAGUUCUUGUGUCAAAAAGAUUAAAUAAGUUUAUUUAGGUGUGAAAUGUUAAACGUUUUUACUGAUAUCUAGUAACUUUAAGAAAAAAAUUUAGUUUAAAUUGUUGAGAAUUUCUUUAUUUUUAAGAAAAUUUUUAUAUGAUUUUAUAUUUUAGGGGAUGAGCUCUAAAAUAAAUUUAUAAGAAAAAAAUUUUUGAGUUUUUGGUAGGCUUAGAAUUGGCCAUAAGAUAGUGUUAUAAGAUAAAAAUUCAAGUUUAAGAUUUUAUUUUCUUUUAGUUUUAUGAAGUUAAAGAAAGAAUAGAGUAAGAUUUGAAAAUAUGAUAGUAUAAGUAGAUAAACAGAGUUUUGAAAGUAAUAUAAAUCUCUCAUUAUAAUUUAUGAAAUAAAUUGUUACAAAAGAACUCGGCAAAAAAGAUUUCCGAAUGUUUAACAAAAACAUUUCCUCUCGGAUAAGUGAGGUAAGGCCUGCUCACUGAAUAUUAAAGAGCCGCAGUAUCCUGACUGUGCUAAGGUAGCAUAAUCAUUAGUCUUUUAAUUGGAGACUGGUAUGAAUGGCUAGACGAGAAAUCGACUUUUUUUGUUUCAGAAAUUGAAUUUAAUUUUUUAGUGAAAAAGCUAAAAUUUUUCAGAAAGACGAGAAGACCCUAUAGAGUUUUAUAUCUUGAAGAAUUUUUUCUUAUUGGAUUUAUUUGGAAAGAAUUUUUUUAAGGUAUUUUGUUGGGGCGACAUUAAGAUAAAAGAAACUCUUUAUUAUAAAAACUUAAAUAUAAGAAUGAAUUGAUCCUUUAAAAAAGAUCAUAAGAAAAAAUUACCUUAGGGAUAACAGCGUAAUCUUUUUUGAGAGUUCUAAUCGACAAAAAGGUUUGCGACCUCGAUGUUGGACUAAAAUUUAGACA